rnacentral:lncRNA from 1 species
CGUGGCCAGACCUGAAGCAGGGCUCAGUGGGGGCGUGUCCUUGGCUCAUCUGACCCCUCCCCGGUGCCCCUCACUGAUCUGUCCCCCUCCACCCCCCGGGUCCAUCCUUCUGCCCCCUCCCUGCAGCCCUGCUGACUCGAGGCUGUUAGCCCUGGGCCUGUCCCACAGGGGAGCCCAGAGUGUGUAUAAUAGUUUACUGGGCGCUUACUGUGUACCAGGCACUGAUCCAGCACUUUACCUGUAUGAAUUCAUUUAUUGUGUACAACAACACUACGCGGUCAGUGAUGAAUUAUCCUUAUUUUACAAAUAGAAAGCCUGAGGCUUGAAAGGAGCCCGUUUUUUGUGUGCCGGGCUCAGGGAGCAUCCUGUGGAAGGAUGGGGGUUGGGGAAGGGUGCUUCAUCCACUUCCUCGGAUCCCAGUGCUCUCUCUGUCAGGCACGACUCCCAGGAAAUGGCCUGUCGAUCUACUGGUCCCAGCUCUGAUGGCCCAUGGCCUGUCCUGCAGGCGGAAGGGUGGGUCUUGCCCAGCUGGUUCCAGUUAGGCACAAGAAAGCUGGCGAGGGGUAUAUUUAGCCCUGGUUUCUGGAGGAGCCAGAGGUCUUUCAUCCUUGGAGGCGCUGGCCACAGCGGGACUCAGCUUGCCAACACUGGGCUCCUGGGCUGCAGGGCAGACAGGCUUCGGGCAGGGAGCGGGGUCAGGGAGGAGAAGGGGUACAUGUGACCCUGUGCAUCUCUGUGGCUGGCGGGGGCAGUGUUAGUGCCAGUCAGGGCCUCUCAGUUCUGAAUGCCACUCUCAGGAUGUGUUUAGGUUUGCAGGCUCUGGAGACGUGGGCUACAGUCUAUGGAGUCGCAAAGAAUCGGACACGGCUUAGAAACAAAACAACAGCAAGCAUUGGAGGGCCGGCCUGGAGGUAGACCAGCUGCCUGCCCCCGUGAGCCUGGGUCCAGCUAAGGCCUCAUGUGUCUGUGGCAUGGGGUUAGCCGGGCCUGGGAGUCCAGGGGCCUGUACUUAAAAUUAAGCAGCAGAGGUGUUCAGGGGGUAGAAUUGCAGGGACAGGAGAGGGUGGCCCUUCCAUUCUCUCUGAGGAGGCUGACAUGUUUGGGCAUUGAUAUUUUGGAGAAGGUGGAGGGUUGUGGGGGCAGGUAUAUCUGUGUAAGAGAGAAACAGGCCCACGGAGAGGCAACUACAUGGUGCCAAGUGGUGCUGGGGGGAUUGGUGGUGGGGGUGGUAAUGAACGGAGAAGGCUUAAAGUAGGGGAAAGCUCAGUGAGGGGCAGGGGAUUCUGCCAGCAGAGAUGGGGGCCUGUGGAGGAGGCAACCCUCUCCCAGGCUCAACCCAUGGAAAAGUCCUCUCCAGCAGGCAUUGGGGUAGUUUAGUCUCCCACACCCUACCCCAUGCAUUGCUCUGCACUUGGCAUUUCUGUCUUACAUAAGGUACCCCCUUGCACACCACCCCAACCCCCACCAGCACCUUCACUUGGGUAGAUCUUCAUUCCUCCCCAGGGAGCCAGCAUCUGUUUGUGCAGCCACUGGGCGCUGGGUUAGCACGAAAAGCCACCCCAACUUCUGGCCCCACUGGGCACGUGCAGGCCCUGGCACUAUCCCAUUCCAAAAACCGGGGUCCCUCUCUCCAGCACGGCCCAGCGGCUCCUGCCCGACCUCUCCCCCGGCCCCGCCCUGCUCGGAGCAGACCUCUAAUCCACCAGGAACCUCCUCAGAAAACCAUUAGGCAGCCAGGCCCUGCGGGCCUCCGACAGGCCCUCUCCCCCACCCUCCACCUCCCACUUCCCACCUCCCGUCUCCGCCACGCCCACCCUGCAGUUCUGGGCGCAGGCCCCAAGCGGACCCCUCGUUUUUGCUCCACUGCUGCAGGCGGCUCUGUCCUUAGACCCGGCCGGGCCUGAGGCUGGCCCCGUGCCUUCUGGCCCUCAUGCCAGCCUCUUCCCGGGGGCCCCCAACUCGCCAGGGAACGCUGGAGGAGGGAGCUUACCCUUACAUCUAGGCUCCCAGGCUCUGCAUGUCCUCCCCCAGUCCUGCCAGUCUGGGGGUGGCCGGGGACGCGCUGUGGGCCGGGCAGUGGCAGGGCUGGCCGAGGGCCCCUCCCGAGUUGGGCUCACUCCACCCCGCCUUCGAAUCCCAGGAUCGUGCUGUCUAGGCCACACCCGACCCCAGCCUUCUUCCUCUCUGCUCCUGGCCGCCCCUUUCCCAGCCCUGAGCCUCUCCUCCUCCUCCAAGUCUGCCCAGAAGGCUGCACCUCCUCUCCUGGGGCCCACGCUGCAGUGAUGGAAGCGAUGGAAGUGCCUCACGUUCAGCCCUAGUCACGGGGACUUGGCUUUGGUUCUGGUCUUGGGCGAGUCGCCUGACCUCUCCGAGACUGUUUGCUCAGCCAAAAUAGGGCUAUUAACCCCACCUGUCGCAUUCGGGUGGUAGAUGAGAGCCUGGCCCAGUAACUGGUGAAUUUAUGGUAGAGCCGCGAAGGGCUGGGACCUGUCUCUGCCUUCAAACUGGUCAGGAAUUGUCACCUUCAAGCUUUAGCCACCCCCAGGGCCCACUGUGAGAGUGGGGAGGACCGUGGGGACCCAUUUGUCUCCAGGUCAUACCAGACAUUGAAAGCAGGUGCUUCCCCUUCUGUCCUCAACUGGCCAAGACAAAGAAAGGCCUUGUGUGGGGUUGGUGAUGAUGGGCUUCUCAGCAUGGGAGGGAGGGAAAGGGCAUCCUCCUUUCCAGAGCUCUAGGUUGAGGGGACUCCAGGCUGGGAGGGGCAGUGGG